rnacentral:rRNA from 1 species
UACGAAGGGGGCUAGCGUUGUUCGGAAUUACUGGGCGUAAAGCGUGCGCAGGCGGCUUCUCAAGUCAGGGGUGAAAGCCCAGAGCUCAACUCUGGAAUUGCCUUUGAGACUGAGUGGCUUGAGUACGAGAGAGGUGAGUGGAAUUCCCAGUGUAGAGGUGAAAUUCGUAGAUAUUGGGAGGAACACCAGAGGCGAAGGCGGCGACCUGGAAGGUAACUGACACUGAGCAGCGAAAGCGUGGGGAGCAAACAGG